rnacentral:rRNA from 1 species
UACGAAGGGUGCAAGCGUUACUCGGAAUUACUGGGCGUAAAGCGUGCGUAGGUGGUUUGUUAAGUCUGAUGUGAAAGCCCUGGGCUCAACCUGGGAAUUGCAUUGGAUACUGGCAGGCUAGAGUGCGGUAGAGGAUGGCGGAAUUCCCGGUGUAGCAGUGAAAUGCGUAGAGAUCGGGAGGAACAUCUGUGGCGAAGGCGGCCGACUGGGCCGGAUCCGACGCUGAGGCGCGAAAGCGUGGGGAGCAAACAGG